AGAUGUGAAUUGCAGAAUUCAGUGAAUCAUCGAAUCUUUGAACGACCUUGCGCUCUUGGUAUUCCGAGGAGCAUGCCUGUUUGAGUGUCAUGAAAUUCUCAACUUCCCGUGUCUUUGCAGACGUGGGAGGCUUGGAUUUGGGGGUUUUUGCUGGCCUUCCCCGGUCGGCUCCCCUUGAAUGCAUUAGCUGGACUUUCCGAUCCGGAGAGGUUCGCGGUGUGAUACAUUAUCUACGCCCCUUAUACCCUCCGACUCUGGCCCGGCUUCCAAUCGUCCUCGGACAAUUCAUUUAUCAUCUGACCUCAAAUCAGGUAGGACUACCCGCUGAACUUAAGCAUAUCAAUAAGCGGAGGAAAAGAAACUAACAAGGAUUCCCCUAGUAACUGCGAGUGAAGCGGGAAAAGCUCAAAUUUAAAAUCUGGCGGUUUCGCCGUCCGAGUUGUAAUCUGGAGAAGCGUUUUCCGUGUUGGACCGUGUACAAGUCUCUUGGAACAGAGCGUCAUAGAGGGUGAGAAUCCCGUCUUUGACACGGACUACCAAUGCUUUGUGAUACGCUCUCGAAGAGUCGAGUUGUUUGGGAAUGCAGCUCAAAAUGGGUGGUAAAUUCCAUCUAAAGCUAAAUAUUGGCGAGAGACCGAUAGCGAACAAGUACCGUGAGGGAAAGAUGAAAAGCACUUUGGAAAGAGAGUUAAACAGUACGUGAAAUUGUUGAAAGGGAAACGCUUGAAGUCAGUCGCGUUGUCCGGGACUCAGCCACGCUUUUGCAUGGUGUACUUCCUGGUUGACGGGCCAACAUCGAUUUUGAUCGGCGGAUAAAGGUGAGAGGAAUGUGGCACCUUCGGGUGUGUUAUAGCCUCUUGCUGGAUGCGUCGGCUGGGAUCGAGGACCGCAGCACGCCUUUUUGGCCGGGGUUCGCCCACGUAACGUGCUUAGGAUGUUGGCAUAAUGGCUUUAAGCGACCNGUCUUGAAACACGGACCAAGGAGUCUAACAUGCCUGCGAGUGUUAGGGUGGAAAACCCUUGCGCGUAAUGAAAGUGAAAGUUGGGACCUCUGUCGCGGAGGGCACCGACGCCCGGCCUUGAACUUCUGUGACGGCGCCGCGGUGGAGCAUGUAUGUUGGGACCCCGAAAGAUGGUGAACUAUGCCUGAAUAGGGCGAAGCCAGAGGAAACUCUGGUGGAGGCUCGUAGCGAUUCUGACGUGCAAAUCGAUCGUCAAAUUUGGUAUAGGGCGAAAGACUAAUCGACCAUCUAGUAG
rnacentral:rRNA from 1 species